CUAGGCACCUCCUACUAGAUGUCGUCCAUGACAGAAAACAACGUGAAAGCUGGUAGGAGUAGCUUUAAAAUAAAAAAAAAUCAAGUACAGUAUGAAUACUGUCGUCUAUGAAGUUUUUUUUUAAUUCAACAAGGAGGGAUCAGCCAAUGAAGUUGGAAGUCCCACCCAGUUGACUACAUUAAGAUGGUGGAAGCUCUCAAUGGUGCUUCCCAUGCUAACGCAGACUUUUGGCCACUAGAGGCCUCUAUCAUUCUCUAUGGUUCGAGCAGCUCAAGUGUGUUGCAUUAUGGAGACAAAAAUGUGGACUGCAUGAACUUUACAAAAACCAUGUGAUCAAAGGGAAUGCCGUUAAUGGGCUUGUUUAACAUUGCAGCCGACAGUGCAGGCGAAUGCCGACUGACUGAUCUACAAAGAACCUUGUUUAAUAAAUAACUACUCAUGAUACAUUACAGUUUUGAUCCUCUGUAACAGUCUUUGAUGAAGUUGUCUUCAAGUCGCUGCAGUUGCGUCAUACUAACUGCACCAUGCAGCCAUCACCUGCAUUGAGGCACUAUUUGUCAGCCAAUCAUUCGGGUGUUUUUGGUUGACUCACGCAAACUUGACCAAAGACGUUACUGAAACAGGGACUAACUUUGACACAAUUCUAAAGCUACAGGAGAUACAAAUUAAAGUGAUAUUUAAGA